UGCCAGCCGCCGCGGUAAUACGGAGGGGACUAGCGUUGCUCGGAAUGACUGGGCGUAAAGGGUGCGUAGGCGGUCCUUUAAGUAAGAUGUGAAAGCCCUGGGCUUAACCCAGGAAGUGCAUUUUAUACUGGAGGACUAGAGUGUGAGAGAGGAAAGUGGAAUUCCUAGUGUAGAGGUGAAAUUCGCAGAUAUUAGGAAGAACACCAGAGGCGAAGGCGGCUUUCUGGCUCACAACUGACGCUGAGGCACGAAAGCGUGGGGAGCAAACAGGAUUAGAUA
rnacentral:rRNA from 1 species